rnacentral:piRNA from 1 species
UGAGCCAGGCUGACUCCAUGACAGGCUGC